rnacentral:rRNA from 1 species
UACGGAGGAUGCGAGCGUUAUCCGGAUUCAUUGGGUUUAAAGGGUGCGUAGGCGGCUUAUUAAGUCAGUGGUGAAAUCCUGCGGCUCAACCGUAGAACUGCCACUGAAACUGAUAAGCUUGAAUACAAUUGAAGUAAGCGGAAUGAGUAGUGUAGCGGUGAAAUGCAUAGAUAUUACUCAGAACACCAAUUGCGAAGGCAGCUUACUAAACUGAUAUUGACACUGAGGCACGAAAGCGUGGGGAGCGAACAGGA